AGGGUUUGAUCAUGGCUCAGAGCGAACGCUGGCGGCACGCCUAACACAUGCAAGUCGAGCGAGCCUUCGGGCAAGCGGCGAACGGGUGAGUAACACGUGAGUAACCUGCCCUUGACUCUGGGAUAAGCCCGGGAAACUGGGUCUAAUACCGGAUAGGAGCGCCUGUCGCAUGACGGGUGCUGGAAAGAUUUUUCGGUCAUGGAUGGACUCGCGGCCUAUCAGCUUGUUGGUGAGGUAAUGGCUCACCAAGGCGACGACGGGUAGCCGGCCUGAGAGGGUGACCGGCCACACUGGGACUGAGACACGGCCCAGACUCCUACGGGAGGCAGCAGUGGGGAAUAUUGCACAAUGGGCGGAAGCCUGAUGCAGCGACGCCGCGUGAGGGAUGACGGCCUUCGGGUUGUAAACCUCUUUCAGUAGGGAAGAAGCGAAAGUGACGGUACCUGCAGAAGAAGCACCGGCUAACUACGUGCCAGCCGCCGCGGUAAUAC
rnacentral:rRNA from 1 species